AACAAACGCUGGCGACGUGCUUAACACAUGCAAGUUGAACGAGAAAGUUCCUUCGGGAAUGAGUAAAGUAGCGAACGGGUGAGUAACACGUGAGUAAUCUACCCCUAGGUGGAGGAUAUCUUUGGGAAACUGAAGUCAAUCCUGCAUGGUCUCGAAAGAGUAAAGGUGGCCUCUUGCUGCCGCCCAGGGAUGAGCUUGCGGCCUAUUAGCUAGUUGGUGGGGUAAAUGCCUACCAAGGCGAUGAUGGGUAUCCGGCCCGAGAGGGUGUACGGACACACUGGGACUGAGAUACGGCCCAGACUCCUACGGGAGGCAGCAGUGGGGAAUAUUGUGCAAUGGGCGAAAGCCUGACACAGCGACGUCGCGUGAAGGAUGAAGGUCUUUGGAUUGUAAACUUCUGUUAUGCGGAAAGAAAGACCGUUGGUUAAUACCCAGCGGGGAUGACGGUACCGCAAGAGAAAGCCCCGGCUAACUUCGUGCCAGCAGCCGCGGUAAUACGAGGGGGGCAAGCGUUGUUCGGAUUUACUGGGCGUAAAGGGUGUGUAGGUGGUACUCUAAGUUAAACGUGUAAUCUUGCAGCCUAACUGCAUGCUUGCGUUUAAAACUGGAGAACUAGAGGCUGGAAGAGGGAAAUGGAAUUCUCGGAGUAGCGGUGAAAUGCGUAGAUCUCGAGAGGAACACCAGUGGCGAAGGCGGUUUCCUGGUCCAAGUCUGACACUAAUACACGAAAGCGUGGGGAGCAAACAGGAUUAGAUACCCUGGUAGUCCACGCCGUAAACGAUGAUCACUAGAUGUGCGGUCCUUUCGGGGAUUGUGUGUCGAAGCUAACGCGUUAAGUGAUCCGCCUGGGGAGUACGGUCGCAAGAUUAAAACUUAAAGGAAUUGACGGGGGCCCGCACAAGCGGUGGAACAUGUGGUUUAAUUCGACACUCCGCGAGGAACCUUACCUAGGCUUGACAUGCAGUUGUACGCCUCUGAAAGGAGGUUUUCCGAGCUUGCUCGGACGUCUGUACAGGUGCUGCAUGGCUGUCGUCAGCUCGUGUCGUGAGAUGUUGGGUUAAGUCCUUUAACGAGCGCAACCCUUGUUGCUAGUUGCCAUUCUUAAGUGAGGCACUCUAGUGAGACUGCCUGGGGAACCAGGAGGAAGGUGGGGAUGACGUCAAGUCAUCAUGGCCCUUAUGCCUAGGGCUACACACGUGUUACAAUGGCUAGUACAAAGAGAAGCGAACCCGCGAGGGUAAGCGGAUCUCAUAAAACUAGUCUAAGUUCGGAUUGAAGUCUGAAACUCGACUUCAUGAAGUUGAAAUCGCUAGUAAUCGCGUAUCAGAACGGCGCGGUGAAUGCGUUCCCGGGCCUUGUACACACCGCCCGUCAAACCAUGGGAGUUGUUUGUACCCGAAGUCGAUACGGUUAUCCGUAAGGAGGCCGUCGCCUAAGGUAUGGAUGGCGACUGGGGUU
rnacentral:rRNA from 1 species